rnacentral:lncRNA from 1 species
AUGGAUGGGCUCCGAGGGGCUUGCGGGAGGGGGGCGCCAGUGUUCGGGGCCGUUUUGGCGGCUAUGCAGGAUUGGCAGGAGCUGCGAUGCUCACACUUGCCUCGCCGACCGCCAUUUCACAUCCAGCAGAGGAGGCGGGGGCAGCCGCUGAGACGGUUUUUCACAAGUAUUCCCACGAGCAUUCUGCUGAGAUGAACAAUCAGAUGACCUCGUGUGAGAUUUGGAGGAGAGAAGGAAAUGGAGAGCAUGCGUCUGCCGCUUCUGUGGUUUCUGUCGGCUUUCUCCAUAUUUACGUGCUUGUAACUCUGGCAUGACCUUUGCUCCAGUCUCUACCAGAGGGCGGUGCCUGGAUUGAAGUGGAAAAGCCCUGUUUUCCAGCCAUGACCCAGGGAGCAAGCACUGACUCCUCAGGGGAACAGGAGACCUGCCAACUAGGACCCUGGGAGCCCCCAUGCUGGCAGUGCCCUGGGUCAUCUCAGGCUCAUCAGCAAAUCCUGGGGGGAGAGCGGGGCUGGAGGGCGAAGAAGCCCAGGAGAGUUCCUGGCUCAGAACCCCUCUCUGAGGCUCCCAAUACAGAGCCCAGGCCCCACACCCAGGGCCUCUGAGUAUUUUUGUUUAUUGUAUGUAAAAUACUAGUGUAUUUUUGUUUAAGUCUCACAGGUAAACAGGUUCUCUCAUACUUUGCCAAGGGAAAUGUGAUCUGUGCAAUUUGGCAAUAACUAUCAGAAUUUUAAAAGCUUA